AGUGGGGGCCCCGGGGGAGGGGCCACGCGUGGCGACCCGUGGGCCGCGCGGGACCCCCGGCUUGGAGGGGAACCCCGGCUUGGGGGGGAACCCCGUUUUCUAAAUGAGGAAGCUGGGACGCAGAGAGGGAACUACCCAGGGUCACAGCGAGUUAGUGGCUGCACGCGGCCCACAGGUCCCUGCUCCAUCCGGGAGCCCAGAUCCCUUAUAAACACCCCCGCCUCCUUCCUGAUGGAGAGCAGGAUGGGAACCUGCAGGUGGAGGCGGGGAGCGAGGCCCCGUGGGGCCUGCACCUUCCACUCCCUGCGGAUCUAGAGGGAGCUGCAGGGCUGGUGGAGAAACUGAGGCCCAGGGAGGUGGAGAGACUUGUCCAGACCGGGGCGUCUCCACGGCCCCACACGCGCCAGGACCAAAGGUCAGCCUCUGACGCGGAGCCGCAGGGGAGCUCACAGUUCAGGUCAAAGUCCAGUCGGCACAAAAGGACCAGAGACAGCCGAGAAGCCACCGGGCGGAGCCCCGAGUCACGGAGAUGCCGGGUCGAGUUCCAGCCCCGCCCCUGCCCGGCCCCGAGACCUGGGCGGCCACGGGAGGGACUCCCCGUGUCGGGUCCCCGGCCGCAACGCGAAGAUGACCACGUGCUCCUCUCGCCAUGGGACUGAAGGGAGACCCCAGGUGAGCACGAAAGGGGGUCAUG